rnacentral:rRNA from 1 species
CGUACCUUUUGGUUCGGACAACACAGGGAAACUUGUGCUAAUACCGGAUAAGCCCUUACGGGGAAAGAUUUAUCGCCGAAAGAUCGGCCCGCGUCUGAUUAGCUAGUUGGUGAGGUAAUGGCUCACCAAGGCGACGAUCAGUAGCUGGUCUGAGAGGAUGAUCAGCCACAUUGGGACUGAGACACGGCCCAAACUCCUACGGGAGGCAGCAGUGGGGAAUAUUGGACAAUGGGCGCAAGCCUGAUCCAGCCAUGCCGCGUGAGUGAUGAAGGCCCUAGGGUUGUAAAGCUCUUUUGUGCGGGAAGAUAAUGACGGUACCGCAAGAAUAAGCCCCGGCUAACUUCGUGCCAGCAGCCGCGGUAAUACGAAGGGGGCUAGCGUUGCUCGGAAUCACUGGGCGUAAAGGGUGCGUAGGCGGGUCUUUAAGUCAGGGGUGAAAUCCUGGAGCUCAACUCCAGAACUGCCUUUGAUACUGAAGAUCUUGAGUUCGGGAGAGGUGAGUGGAACUGCGAGUGUAGAGGUGAAAUUCGUAGAUAUUCGCAAGAACACCAGUGGCGAAAGCGGCUCACUGGCCCGAUACUGACGCUGAGGCACGAAAGCGUGGGGAGCAAACAGGAUUAGAUACCCUGGAGUCCACGCCGUAAACGAUGAAUGCCAGCCGUUAUGGGUUUACUCACUAUGGCGCAGCUAACGCUUUAAGCAUUCCGCCUGGGGGAGUACGGUCCAGGAUUAAAACUCAAAGGAAUUGAGGGGGCCC